CUAGUAAUGGCAGGUCAGCAUACUGCCGUGAAUACGUUCCCGGGCCUUGUACACACCGCCCGUCACACCAUGAGAGUUGGAGAUACCCGAAGCCUAUGAGCUAACUUUUAGAGGCAGUAGUCGAAGGUAGAAUCAAUGAUUGGGGUGAAGUCGUAACAAGGUAAC
rnacentral:rRNA from 1 species